CCCCUAGACGUUCUGGGCUGCACGCGCGCUACAAUAAUACGCACAGCGAGUAUCACCGAGCUCGAAAGGGCAAGGUAAACAAUAGAAAAGGUACUGUAAUGGUUAUAGAUCCUUGUAAUUAUUGAUCUUCGACGAGGAAUUCCUAGUAAGUAUGUGUCAUCAUCACGCACUGAUUACGUCCCUGCCCUUUGUACACACCGCCCGUCGCUCCUACCGAUUGGGUGAGCCGAUGAAACUCUCGGAUGUAGGCUAUUCAUAGCCCGCAGAAGAGAUUUGAAUCGUAGCGCUUAGAGGAAGGAGAAGUCGUAACA
rnacentral:rRNA from 1 species